AGGCGCCGUGCUCACACGGCGUGCUCCUGAGAUUAGCUGCCCGGUCUCGAUAAAAAGGCUCAGGCAGAACAAAACUGGGAAAAAUUACCAGAGCGACAAGUCCCUCUCACUGCGGAGGAAGAAAGCCUGGUUUUCAGCAACGGAUCAAAAUUAACAAACCACUACACCACUUCCUCGAGCCCGAAGCCUGCAGUAAACUUCCUAGAUAUAAACGAGCAGCGACGGCCCAGCUCGGGGAGAGCGCGCCCAUCCAGAACAGCCAUGACCCUGCCUCCGAGCAGGCAGCGGGCACGGUCCCAGGCCAGGUGGAAGCAGACAGAGCCUCCCUCGGCCAGGAAGGCCGCCGUCCUAAAGAGCAGCAGCCACUGGCAGGCAGUCAAACCUUUUAGGUCACCGCCAGGUCUAGAGACAUGGCAGACUCUGCUUGGUAAGGCUGGGGUGGCUCCGUGCACCAGCAAGGUGACACGCGGCCAAAUUAUCCUCACGGACUUACAGCUUCUCAGACUGAAGCCUUCCAAAGGAACUGCUGCAGCCCUGCCCUUGCCCCCGCUUACGGCUUUCCUCCUUCACCUGGGCAGCCGGCAAUCUGCUUGGCUUUGCCGGAGCAGGACCCCUCGGUUAGCUCCUACAGCUUCCCAGGUGUGGUGGACACCAAGGGCUGGCCUACGCAGGGCGUUAUGCGAGCACGCUCCCUCCAAAGCGGCAGUUCCGUCUAGUUAAUUACACGCUGACGUUACACACAUAGAAAAUCAUCUUUUACAACGCUGUUUUGUCAUUAUGUUAAAUUUGUUCCUGCUUUUACCCUCCUGGAGGGCAUGCAGGCAGUGUAACAAGGGUGCCUGUACGGCCCCGAGCCUAUAGGGACACAUUAGGAAGACAACAUCCUUGGUAUUAAACACAUCAGCAUAUCGCCCAUGCACCAAGCGCUUUGGUGGUGAGCAAGCAUAGAGCCUCUCCAGAUUCUAUCUGCUCUGAUAAUACGCUGUAAAACAUCCAAAAAUGACUUUGAAGAUGUAUGUUAUGUAUACAAGGAUAUACAGUGUGCUCAGCUCAACUUCCCCUUUUCAACCAUUUUCCAAGAAAAACAUGACUUAAAAGAAUGCUGGGGCUGUAAGAUGAGUCAGGAUACGUGCAAGGAAAAGACAGCUCAGUUUCAUUUAAUAAACUAAAGCCUCUACUACUGCCUAUCAAAUCCCAAGCACGCAUCUACAUCCAUAUACAUGCAGGAGCAGCUCAGGACUGCUUUGUACUAAAGGAAGUUGAGCCUCACGUAUUCACAACACAUGGCAGAAGUCCAUGUUCUCACUUUCACGCUAACUUCUGCUCUAUUUUCAAUAAUAAAACACAGCACAAGCUGCCAUUCCAGCCCCCAACGGUGAGAAUAAAGAAGAAACUGGUUAAUUCAUAAAUACCAAAGUACUUGUUGCCAAGUCCUCACGAACCACGCACCUGCACAAAGGUGGGCAGAAGCUAAUAAGCUGUGUAAAUAUCAGUACUUGGUCCAUACUUAACACCGAGUCAGAGUGCUUGUGAGGAACAGGUGGUUGAUUUUCCCUGAGUUUGUUAACCCAUCUCUUUUCCACAUGCUCAAACUCUUAUCUGUAAAGGUGAGUUGCCUUGACGAAGGUGAUUAAAACCCUGAGUAUGGAGAAGCAGGAACAGGUUUUUAUCUCCUCCCCUUAAGAAUUCCCAAGCUGUAAAAUGUUCAAGCAGCAAGGAUUAGGUACACACAUCAAUCCUCCUCACUUGCCUCCAAAAACCCAGGUUCGAAAUUCCCCGAACUGUAACCUUAUGGUAGGAGCAACCCCUUGCAAGGUCCGUGUAACAGGACUAUGGAUCAUGCACGGACCUAUAAAACACCUGAUACAAACUCUUCUCGAUGAAAGCUCUUCUGAAUUGAUAAAAGGUACUGAAAACAAAAACCAAAAUCCACUCUGAAGGACCUGUAAUGGUUCCAAACAAAAACAAAUAACCACCACAGAGCUCCUUCCUCAAGGUAAGAAAUAACUCUCUACCUUUUUGGAGCAAAAAAUAUCUAAGUUAAUGCCAUGCAACUUGCUUGGACAAACUGACAGUUGCUUGAUCCAGUUUUAACUAUGAAACAGUAAGGGAUUUGGAACUUCCCAAAGGUUUUCUGUUCUUUGUUUUCUGUCAUGUCAAAGGAGGGGGGGAAGAAAAAAUUCCUGUCCAGCUACCUCAUCUUUUUUUUUUUUGUAUGAUUCUUAGUGAAACAAGGUUUAUGCAACUCCAUUAUCCAUGCAUUAGUUCUUCUCUAUUAACUCCUGAACCCUUUGUUCACUUUCAAACAUUUCGCAGAGGAACAGAAGUCUCAAAGAUAAUUAAGUUCUGAUCACUGGUCCCUAUCUGAAAAACGGAGACACUAAAAACUACGCGUGAGGAAGGUAAGACAGGCAAAGAUAUGAAACGGCUCCCAUUUCAGAAACAAUUAAUAGACUAGAUUUUAAAGCAAAUCCCUGGAGGCUCCCCAGCGUUUGGGGGAAUUACCAGAAGUGCUUGCUUUCUUAGGCACCUCCCAACACCACUACUGCCAGGGCUGUUCAGGGCAGGUCCCGGGCUCGAUUAACUUCUGAUUUGAUUCAUUACGACCAAGUGCAUUCCCAAAAGUUCACUGUCUCUGCCAAGGAAGGAAGGAGGCAGGCAUUCUGCUAGCAGCAGCUAUCUAGAGACCUGAGAUCACAGCUCUGGACACGGCACAGAGCUUGUACCGUGAGGAAGAGGUGGUGGAUGGCAGUGGCACAUCGCAGGUCCCGGCCCUGAGAUAAGAACUAUGCCAUGCCGAAAUAACCGCUACUGGAGACGCCAGCUGAAAGGUACGGUAGGGAGACUGUGUACAAACAAGACUCAAAAAGUGAAUGUGCGAGAAAUCUGGAAAUAAAAUCAAGUUUCCAUAGUACUUUCCUGAGGAUAAGGGAGCAAUUCUGCUCCUAGAAGCCAGCUAUAGAGCAGCCCAAGGAAACCCAUUCCAACCAGUCCCCCCCCGUGCCCCAGCUGUAACCGAGGCCCGUUUGCAUGCAGCACCGACCUUCGGGUUCACCGAGUCAACUCCCUGCAGGUCCCUGCGGGACGACAGUACGCUACGUAUUCCUGGAAAAACACCACUUCUUUCCCGCUUUACAGAAGACACUUAAGCAUGACUUGAAGUCCCCUGGACACAAGAGCAAUCCUCUGUUCUGUAUUACCUCUUCUGCCACUGCAGUUCCCAAGGAUGUGGCUAUACGACCGCUUUCUCCAGGAGCGGUUGUGAGCCUCUCAUUUCAGCUGGGCCAGUACAAGUCUUUGUGGGGCAACGCCACAGACCUGGCAAUGGAAUGAGCCCAGGCUUAAAACCAAAAAUCCUUCCCAAAAGCUGGAUUGUAAGGGACGACCAGGAUGGUUUAAUUUACAGCUAAGUCACAGAAACACCUAAUAGAUGGAGAAACCAGGUGGAAGAGAACUCCUUGGGGGUUCUUUUGGAGGGCAGGCACGGGAGACAAGUAUCCUCAAACCACACCCUGGCAUUGGGCUGCUCUCGCAGCCAAGAGAACAGCCUGUCCCACUGCACCUCUCCUUGCUAAGGGCAGGGAAUAAAAACACUCUUUUCCAAGAGAUAGAUACUCGGGCAGUGCAGACAAUCAGAAGAAAACAGCUUCACGUUCCCUGCAAGUAUCCCAAGAGCUGCAAAACAAGAACCUCUGAAGUACUUGGACACAGAGUUUGGUAUCACCCUCAUGAAAUUAAAAAAAAAAAAAAAAAGUUUUUUGGGGUGGGCUGUUUUGUUUUUUUUAAAGAGCAAGGCUUGACUUCGGUUAGCCAACAUGAAUUAACUGCUUGGGUCACAGCAUGACAGCAUAUUAAGUGCAGGAGCAGGGUGUCAGUGCCAGGCCAAAAACAUCACAGCUCCGCAAUGUAAGUCACGGACCCAGUAUAAACUGCUGCCAUAGCUUUGCAGAUGUUUCUUCAAACAAGAGUGCCAGUGCAGCUGAUUCAUCCCCCGCCCUCCCGUACCUCCCCCUCGAGUUGUGACAGCUUCGCCUUGGAUGGAAGGAGCAAGGCACACACGUGGGAAACCAGGCCAGGAACUCACCCGGUUGAAAAAGCGUGUCUGAACCAAAGCAGUGCCCCGAUGUGCUCCGCCACACCGUGCUGAGCUGCGUGAGCCCAGCCGAGGAAGCGCCCGGAGGACAGCGCCGAGCACCCACCAGCAGGCGCUGCUCGAAUCGAUGCCGCUACCCGAAGCGAUGCCGCUACCCGAAGCGGCAGCCACAGGAACCGUCUCGCUCGGCUGCCUCGAAUUUGCUCAGACGUUGACAGCUUCGCUCUGUAACGACAAGCUCCGUGCUAAAUGGGGAAUCGCCCGCUCACAGCGCGCCGGCUUCACGCUUGGUCGAGCGUCGGCCGUCCUCUUCCUCUCACGUAGCAGCACGACGUCCCCAGGUUAGCUGGGGCGCACCGUGCGCGGUUUAUCUGAGCCCUUACCGUGGGCCGCGGCCGAUGCAGAUCACAUCUGGCAAUCUGGCAGCGCAGGAGGACCAUGAAAGCACAGGCACCAUCAAGACUAAGCAGCUUGCAAGUAACACGUGGAAGAGACAGGAGAAGCCUGAAUUCUCCUUUUUUCGCUUGCAAACUCGCUUUAAAGCUGCCAACUAGCUUCUCCUUAUCGCAGUUAACCUCGUACAUCAAUGACAAGAGAAAUUAUCUCAAGAACACUCCUCCUGCUUAAAGACGAUCCAGCCAAAGAGCCAGAAAAUCAGUCUGCUUGCUACGCAGCCCUAAAUCUUCGUGGGUCCUGCAUGGGUCCUUCUGGAGGCGACUCCUCCUGCUGCCUCCCUCGUGCCAGCGAGCAGAGACGUGGGGUUAGUUAGGAGCACCAAAAAGGAGUGUGUGAAGCCUGCACGAGACGAUGAGGAAAACCUCAUUCUUCCAGACUGCAGCUUCCCCUUACGGUAGCGUGGGGAUAACAAAUUGAGGAAGUCUUCAGGUUUGCCACGAGGUACUGCUCGCCCCGACAUCCCGCGGGCACACGAGAUCUGUAAAAAAGGACAAAUCCCCACGCCGGCAGCAAACCAGACACAGAUCAGCAGCGUUGCUUGAGGGGCCUCCUCUGCUCAGCCAGGCCUAGGUCUCACCCAGCCUUCAGAGUCUAUACGUAAAUAACAUUUUUCAGGGAGGUUGAGAUGAAAUCUCAAGUCUUUUGUGAAGCAAACGAAGUAAAUCAGAAGCGAUUAGACUUUUCUCUUUCCAGGAUGAACUCUUCACUGAGAUUCCAGUGGUUUCGGCACAUCUUGAGGCACCAAAUCGGGUUCGAUCCAUUAAGUAACCUCCCCAAAAGACCAGCGCGUAAGAGGAGCAGGAGCAGCACAAGGAAGAUGUGGCAUUUCCUGAAGCUUCCAAAAAGGGCACUUUUUUUCCUUAAGUUCAUCUUGGGCUCUACAGUCUAUUUAAACAAACUUGGUGAAGCACAGAAAGAAGAAGGUUGCCACAAAUAUUCCGAGAGUAAAUUUUGCCAUGCUUGAGAAUCCAGCACCAAUUUUGAUGAUCUUGCAAUGCAUUAAACUCCUGAAACUGCCGUACUGCAUAUCCUACAGGACAACAUGAGGAACUUCCCUGUCUGCAACUGGGAACAAAUUAAAUUAUUCAUCUACGCACAAGAGUUCAACCCCCUUUGAACCACGGCAUAACAAAGUUCCUUUUAAAAUAAGUCUGUUGUGUUGUUUUUUUUUUUUAAAUGUGAAAAAUUCCUCAAUGUCUUUCCCUACUGAAAUGCUUUCUUACACAUUAAACAAUUACAGUGGGAACUCAUUAGUUCUUGUUAGCAACAGAGAGUCCAACAGCCCAAAUUUGGUUUUACAAGUUGAAGAGGAGAGGAGGAACCAAAUGGGACUUUAAAACACACUUUGAAGCAGGGCUUCUUUGUAUAUUAGAGCUACAGCAGCAAGCUCUGACACACUGAAGACGUGGAAGUGCAGUACCCUACAAAAGCACCUUUCCCAACUACUCCAGUUACCUCAACUCCACUGGAAACUCAGGCAAGACUGGUAAAAGGCUCGGCCAGCUACCUCCUUGGGAACAUGAAAAAAACAAUUUUGUGAAGAAAUAAGAUGCAGCGUAAGAUCCUGGUGCAGACGUGACACUGACUUAACAGAUCACUUGUCAGAAGAGGCGCAAAACUAGAUGGGGGUGACUCCAACAGCUUAUACCCGCUUUCAAGCAACCCCAAACUAACUCAGGAGUAGUUUAGAAGCUGAAUUGAAAACAGUAGCAACCACCUUACUCCUUUCUUGCCCUGCUCAGAAGAGAUGAGGUGUUUUUAUCUAUUUAAAGUUAGGAAAUUUCAACAUCAGAAGUUGCUGCUGUAAAAACAGCAGCUAGAUGCAGGUUCCUUCCAUUCACACACAACCCAAAUCUCACUAGCUAAAAGGAAAGACGUUUUCUCAAGGAAUUAUAGAAAAGGGACUUAUCAAGUGCCUUCGCUUAUCAGGUGUCUGUCAUCCACCAUCGCUGGAAGGCAAAACAGGCAGACACGACCAACGGGAUGGAAGAAGCAGCAGGGGAGGAGUGCUGCAGCUCAGCUCGGCUGCCCACAAAAGCCCAGGGGAGCUGCCAGCCCCCAGCCAGCCGGGGGUGUCCCCAGCCUGCCCCCAGCACCCCGAGUUGCCAAAAAGCACCCAGCAGAAGCCCCCUACACCACAGUGCUGGAUCUCCACCAGGCCAGCAGCACCCGUCUGCCCAGAGAGGUGUCCGGGAACUACAGCAGGCACCCGGCAGGCGCCGUCCUGCUGGGAUGGGGAGGGGAGAAGCCACAUUCCCCCGCGGGGCAGAAGCUGACCAGGUGCUCGCACUCCGUCUUGCCAAGGGCACGUGGCUGCACAGCUCCACGGAGCGCGUCCACAUGAGCCUUACACAUCAGCUGGGCACGCCGAAGCUGUCUGACAUCUCCACAUCAUGCCACGUUUCUUAACAUCUUUCUUUCACCAAGGCAGUCCUGCCUGGGGGAGAGGGAAAGGAAGACUGCGGAACACAAGAUAAAUUUUGGUGUAGCUAGAAACAGCUAAAGGAAAAGGUGAAGAAACCCAGUGGCUGAAAUGGGAUGAGUUAGAAGCUGUCCUAUAUCCAUUAGGACCACCGGCUGCAGAAACCUAUUAGUAAGUUGCGAGAACAAACUCAUUUUUAUUACCUUUACUAGUUAUACCUCUCUCCACUAAGCCCACUCUCAGCUCAAGUUACCUUCAGCUCAAAGUUAGUAACACAAAAAUCAGUAAGCGAGAAGACAGCUCACCCGAGCCUGUGCUCAUGGAGCAGCACUCCCACUAACCCUCCUGCAACCCCAAAAAUACACAUGCUGGUAAUAAAGAAGGGGGACAGAAGAGGGUUUACACGUGCCCCUGUAGCUAAAUUAUCUGGAUUACGUGCUUUAGGCCUAGACUCAAUAACGUGCAUCUUACUAGCUCUGUACCCAAGUUUUUUUUACCAGGAAAAGCACACAAAAUUAUUACUGGCAUCACUAUGAUGUCAAGAGGACAAAUUCAGCCAUCCUCAGUAGCUCUCAGGCAAUACUAGGAGCCAGGAGAAGUCUGGAUUCCAGGCUGUGAUAUGUAACUGGAUGGGGGCAGGCCAAACCUGGUCCCCAGCGAUGCAUUAAUAACACCCUUAAUUAACAGAGCAAUGACGUCACGCUGCCAUGCCUAAAAAUUUUGGGGACGGUUACGCUGAAACAAGAAGUAUGCCCGCAGCACGGACAGGCGCACCAACGCUGGGUCCAACCCAGCCUGCCUGGGGGGAGCCACCCGUUACGUGGUGGAGCUGCCUCUCCAGCACGCUGCAAUACAGCCGCUGGGAACCUCAGAGCCCACGCGGGGUCAGGGCACCACUUACCUUCAGCGUGUUGGAUUCAGGUGGCACACGUGCGCCUGACUGACCUAGGAUCAUAAACGUGCCACUCAAACACACCUUCAGUGUGCUACACACUCAAAAGCAGCCAUCACUUUCUAACCUAGCACGCUCCCAAGCAAGUGUAACUCUUAAGCCAAGAAUACAUAAAAAGCUUUUCAUCUAAAAGCAUAAAUCGACAUUUGCCUCAGCAGAAGUGUUGGCUUCAGGGGUUCUUCCUCCAUCCUUCCUCUCCUUUCUUUCCCCAUCCAUCCCCUUGUUCCCAGCCCUCCCACUGAGCCCAUUCAGCUGUUCGCACAGUCCCACGGGCAGCCAGAUCGGGUGCCUGAUACAGAUUAAAAAUAAUCCCGGAAAAACACAAAGCGCGAGGAGGAGGAAAGGUGGAAGGAUUCGAGUUCCUCGAAUCGCUGCAAGAUGGAAACGCAGAAAAACGUCGUUCCACUGCGUCGAGGGAAUGCCACAAGCCUGCAGCGGGGCUCAGUCACUUACAGCCACCAACGAAACGCUCGUGCUGCGGUUAAACUCUCCCGGAGAAGGUGCAGAUGAGACAGCGUUGGGAAGGGAAGCCUCCUGGUGCCGAGACAACCCGCUCUCUUCCAGGCAGCUGACACAGCACUCUCCUGAAGGGAGGCUGGCACCAGCUGGAACAACGAGCAUCUCUCCCACAUGCAUUUUUUCAUCAGAGGCCCCAGACUCCAGCCCAGCGGUCCCAAGUUUCCUAGACCUGGUGUUUAUCCAGCACUCCCAUGCGGCCUGCAAUCAGGCAGACAGCCGGGCCGCUCCACGGGGCGGCGGGCCAGUGCACCACGACUCCUUCCAGGCGAGGAGAGCCACCUCUCACCACGCUACCAUUUAUUUCGUGGCUGGAUGGCAGCUGUUAGGAAAAUCUUCAUUCAGAGCAUCUUCACCUCUGCUACGCUGGAGGGACACAACUCCAGGAGCUCCUUCAGGGUGAGUAAGCUCCCAUACUUCAUUUUGCAAGUUGACAACCCAGCAUCUUCACACACACAAAAGUUUUACGUCCCCCCAUAAACAGCGCUAACUUACAAGAGAGCUAUUUGUGUCGGCGCUAACCCCCUGCCCCACCAGAGGUGCACCAAAAAAACUCAGCAGGACCACGAAAACCAGUUGCCUUCUCUAGGUGCCAGCAGUCAACUUACCCAGAGUCUUAUAACCGCUGAAGUGGCAGCCCUGACUCCUGCAGCUCCCCUACGCUGAGAAUAAGACCUGGGUGCCCCAGUGCAGGCUGCCAGGCUCCUCUGUAACAGAGCCACUGGGCACCAACACUAAAAAAUGGCACUUAAAACCAGUCUCUGUCAGAGAAGUGCAACCUACCUACCGGUUUAUGAAAAUAAGAAUUCACAGCGUUUCACGACCAGGCCAGAAGUGAUCACCGUAUACUCCCAGGAGCGUUAUUGAUCUACGACAAACAAGCUGGUUUUGGCAGCUGUUAGGUCUGGAGUUCGCGCACACAAUUUGGUAACCACAAGGAUAACAGCGGAUUAUCUGCUGAAUGCUUCUCUUCCAAUGGCAAGUCUAUGAAAUGACGACGCACAAACCCCAUUCAGGACUUAAUCCUGCCCUGGAGUCCGCACACAACUUCGGUGCGCACAGCUCCCAUUAACGGGAGCCACCAGCACCAGGGGCAGAAACAAUUCAGUAACACAAACUCCUCUGGCUCACGCCGAACAGAGCCGUCAUACAGAAACAGCUGCAUCUGCCCAUAUGUUGAUCUUGGUCAUAUGUCAAACCCAGACUUCAUCCAUACGUACGGUACCAGAGCACAGUAACUCUGGCCACCGGCCAGCUGCCUUGCCCUCCGCCUGGGAAGGUUACAGAGCAAAUCCUGGACGCUGCUCCCGAGCACACCAAGGUGACUGAGACCAGCCAAAACGGAUAUACCAAAGGCAAAUCAUGCCCGACUGAUCUGACUCGCCGCUGCGAUGAAAAGACCGGCUCUGUGGCUAAGGAGAGAGCAGGGGUGUUGCAGGUGCCUCGUGUCAAAGGCCUCGUAGCCCCCCAGGGGAGCCUUUGAACCAAACUGCUGAGAUAAAGACUGGGCAGCAAGGUGGGAGGCAGACCGGACGAAUGCCGGGCUCAGAGGACUGCGAUCAGCAGCACAGCCUUCACCUAGCUGCUAACAGCAUCCCUCAGCACCGACAUGGGGCCAGCCGCGGACGUUUUGCGAUGGACUGGGACUGGAACGCGCUCGCCAGAAGUUUGGGGAACCAGGAAAAGCAUGCCACGUACUGGAGGGCAAGGCUGCUACUCAGAGGAACUUUGACAAGCCAGGAAACGGCUUGACAAGAACCUCAGGAAGUUCAAUUAAGGCUAAGCAAAGUCCUGCAUCUGGGAUGGGAUAACUCCCUGCAGCGCCACAGGCUGACUACAGAGCGUCUCUGUAGAAAAACACCUGGAAAAACAACAAAGUGCCCAAGGGCCAACAUGCACCCUCGCAGCAAAGGCGGCCAACAUCCCCUCGUGCCGCACCAGCGGGGUGAAGGGAUGGGGGGUCCUGCCCCGCUGCUCAGCGCUGGAAAGGCCACCUGGAGAGCCGGGUCCGGCACAGGGACGGGGGCACACAGGAGCCACCAAGGUGGGCAGCGCUGGAUGUGAAGAGGCAGGUUGGUUCAGCGGAGAUGUCACUGCUGUCACAGCUAGGAGCGGGAGGCGCAGAGCUGGCAGGGCAGGGCUCUUCUCAGAGGUGCACGGGGAGAGGAUGAGGGACGAGGGACGCCAGCUGCAACACGAGGAAGUUUUCCCUGGUGGCUGGCUGGGGUUAUCUGCCGUAAGUGCGGCAGAACACUUUGGGCAGGGCCCAAAUGAAGGAUGCCAUCCCUGCCUCGUCGUCCUUAGGGAUGGCACCGCGGGGCGGGCAGGCCCCGGGCACCCUACAGGACAGCCUGCAGCAGCAGCAGGUGGCCUAGGGACCUGCAGACAUCCCUGCCCACCGCCCAGGCGGGUCAGCAGGGAGCACAGCGCAGACCUUGCCGUGCAGAGUACCAGGGAUGGCACAGGGACUCGUGCCUGUGACAUUAAACACCAAGCACCACCGAUUCCCUUUGCCACUCACAGCGGGAACCCAGCUGCGAAUUUCCCCAACUCUCCUCGCCCCUCACCCUUCCGCUCUCAGCCUCCCCGUCCAACACAACGCAAUGCACACCACCAGCUUGUAACCAGCUCGUAACCGUCCAAGAAACAAAGCCGGGACAGCCCAAAGGCACGCAUUGUCCCUCCACGAAACCAAGCACCAGAAAAAAGUACGGCUGUGACAAAAGGAGCAAAAUUUUCAGAGCACAAAGUAAGGGCAGGCCGAAAAAGCAGAAAAGUAGUCGCCGAUGGAGAGCAGCCAGGCAGGAUGGCUUGGCCACCUUGGCUGUAUUUUCCCCCUCAUUUACUUUACUCUGGUUUUACAGAACUCCGAAGGAAACGGGGUGUUUGGGGAAGGAGGAAGCCCCCCAAAAGCAUCUUCCUGCACAUCCUGCGGAGAAAGAAGUUGCAGCGCACACUUUCUGCGAAGGGAAAAUGGCUGAGCGCAGAUCCACGCCAGACCACCCUCGGUGUUUAUCUUCCAUAAAAUCCACCAGCCAGGGCCCUGUUGCCUCUCCUUUCUGUCGCCUGGUGAGAAGUUGAACAAAGCACACCGUGGUCCUGCUCACAGUUCCCAGUACCACACACCGUGUGUACAACACACUGCAGCACCUCACUGCUCCGUCUCCCACACGGCUCCAGAAGAGGACCCAGAGCCCAGUUCCCCCAUCAUCUCCCACCCCACGCGCAGGACAGAGGAGAACCGGCCACGAUGGGAGCUCAACACCUUGCCUUAAGAGAAGGCCUGCUCCCAUCCAUGUGUCCUUCUGUGCUGCUGGCUAAGGGACCAGCUGCUGGCAGCAGCUUCCAGGAGCAUUUCCUACCAGAGACAACUGCCCCAGUCACGCCAGAACAGCCCCUGCCGAGAGAUGACUCAAGGGACGGGUAUGUGCUUUCAUGUCCAGUUUUAUUAGUGUUGCAUUAGUACCAUAAAAUAGUUGACGAGGUCGAGCACGUUGCAGUUUGUUCCAAAAAAAAAAAAAAAAAAAAAAGGCUAUUUACACUUAAUGUCUUCAUUAAAAAAAAAAUAGAACCCAAACAAUACAACAACGAAACAGAUGGACAACUCAGGAACCUACACAGUGGUAACGUCCCCUGGCACGCUGCGGUCCGGACAAGGCUCGUGGCACGCAGCAGAGCACAGCACGCGGUACCCGCACUGGCAAGGUGCUUCCCUGUGGCAUCUCCGUGGCCGAGGCACGCAGCGGGGCAGGCAAUGCUCUGGCCAAGGUGCAAAGCAGCAGCUGACUGCUGUGGCCUGAUACCAGAGCUCUUCCUUAAGGAAACCAGUCACCUGCUGCUUUCCAAGUUGGCAUGUCCCCUCCUCCUGUCUGUCCCACUGCCGCCGACUGUCCCUGCAGGAGCACCUCCCCUGACAGCCCUGCUGAAGAGGCUCCAGAAAACCUCUGGGAGAUGCUGCUGCUCAGUUCUGGCCUUCUCCCUACCUACUUGAUAAGCCCAGAGGGAGUGUCACACAAAAAUGAGUCCACCAGACUGAGACCAGAGGAACGGGGACAUUGCAUCUGACCUAGCUCCAGGAAAGCACCAGGCCCCCCAGCCCGGUGCUGCUGCACAGCAGGACUGCCCUCAGCCCAGACUCCAGGCUCCCCCAGCACAUCCGGCAGCAGAAGGCCAUCAGCUCUGCUUCCUCUCACCAGGAUUUUCUUAAAUUUUGAGGCACCAGGUGCAAUGCCCUAGGGCCUGGCUCUCCGCUGCUCCCUCCAGCACCCAUUACUGGUGAGAAAUGACCAGGCAGAGCCAUUUGGGGCAAGCUGCAGCUGAAUUCCUGCUACCCCUAAGCAGGACGAGGCCUUUGCUGUAAUCCCAGGUGAGCAGGGGUCAGCGUGGUGCUCGGCCAAGCUUGAUGACUGCACACCAACACGCACAUCUCCUCCAGCCCCAGGAAACCUUCAGCCUCCCACCCCUGCCCGCCCUGCAGGAUAAAGCAGCAAGCACGUACUAAUAACACAGCAAAACACAGCCACAGAGACAGUGGCUCUCCCCAAGCUCAUGUGUAAUUAAGAGGGACUCUGCAGUUACCGCUGAGAUGUAAAGGGUAACAAAUUAAGUGAACGGCAACUGCAGUGCUGAGCUACAAAAGCCACCCAAGACCUCUGCAAAAUCACCAGCUCAGCAGGUGACCGUCCCGGGCAGGGCCAGGGACAAGCCUUAGUCUCCAAAAAACCAAAACUGGAGGACUGGGAAGCACAAGGUGCAACACGACGCCACAGAAACCUUCCAUCUUUCCUGUGCUCACCAGCACUGAUAAACUAGGUCAGCCUCGCACAGCACAGCAACGAGCCUUUUCUUGAGGCCUCACCUCUGAGGAAGGAGGGGCCCUUCUCCCACCAGCAACUGGGAAGGACACCAGCUGUUUCAAGCCCAAUCUCACACGGGCUGGUGAGAUAACACCGUGGCAUUUCUUCCUUUAAAUUGCACCUCUCUCCAAAACCCUCAAGCUGAACAUGGGGCUACGCUGUCUCCUGCCCCCAGCCAUCCGUCAGUACCCACCAGCUCACACGCAGCCACCUCUCCCCACCACGUUCCCAGUCCCGGUGCUCCCCCUGGCUGGCAGGGACCCCAAAUCCUGCUGGGAGAGCAGGAGAUGGCCUGGUGGGAGACCUGAGAGCUGCCAGACCCAGGAGGACGAGGCUGCGAAGUCCGGCUGUCUCCUUGCACGGGCGAAGGGCUGCACUUCCGAGCAAAGGCAGCUUCCAACAGGGCACAAACACAAGCCCUCAGGCGUGCAGAGCUUCCCGGUGAAUUCGGUUGUACAGAGGUGGAACAAAACGCAAACCAAUGUGGAACGCAACGAGCGCGAGUGCUUCUCUCACACAUACACGCACACAGUAGCGCAGGGCAACACACAUGUAUAGGCAGGACCACGGAAAUCCCGCGCUAGCUACCGUCUGUUUCUUUACAGUAGGUUGAAAUGCAGAGAGGGGCACAGCCAUGCUCCCCCCUCGCUCCCCAGUAAACAAAGUUAUUGCAGUCGGUCAGUCUGUCCGUCCCGUCCGUCCCUCCUCCGCAGCAGUAACGCGCCGGCACCGAGCUGCCCGGGCCGCGUGCGGCUCCCAGCGCUGGAAGCCAGCCCAGCCGCUCCUGUAACUCCAGCGUGAGCCUUGAGGAAGAAAUCGCACACUGACUAAUUUCCUUGAAAAAGCUUUUUUUCGAUGCAACAGCCUCAAUAAAAUUAAAAAAAAAAAAAAAAAAGGGAAAAGCGAUGUGCUUAUACGCCAUCUCCCACGCUGCUGCUGCUAGGCAACGCUACUCAAUCCCACAGCAUCAGCUCAGGUCAGCCAGAAAUGCACAAACUGGUGGACGUGCCGCCGUUUGCACCGGAGCUGAGCUCCUGGCACAGGCAGACGGAGGCAGACCUGCCCGCAGACCGCGGGGAGGAGGAGGACUUCAAGCGGACAAGACGGCCUGCCCAGCAGCGUGCCGCCGAGCGUUGGACCGCGUCCUCCUCCCGCGGGUGGCUUGAAGGGAAUGCCCAGUGCCCGGCCAGGCAGGGUGCACUUGUGCUGGGAAAGGAUUUCAUGAAAUCAAAAUCAGUGAAGCAGCCCGUGCCCUGAGCUGUGAGAGGCACUAGAUCCAGCAGGGAUCACGCUCUCGCCUGAUGAUCCCUUGUUCCCCGUCAGCAGAAGCCCUAACAGAGCACACCACCAGCACCCUGCUCAAAGCCACCUGGGCGCUCCCUGUGCAGAGCAGGACAAAGCAAAUUCUCCAAGACCUUUAAUAACCAAGGGUAACGAGUCAGAGGGAAAAACAACAACAACAAAAAC